rnacentral:tRNA from 1 species
GCCUUCGUGGUGUAAUGGUCAGCACACUGAGCCGGUAUUUCAGAGGUCCGCGGUUCGAUCCCCGGUGAAGGCG